CUAAUUUCCCUAAACUAGCCGCCUUUCUCCCCUUUCCCUUUUCCUUUCUUCCUAAUCUAGCACACACUACACAACAGCAGUAAAGAACAAAAGAAAGAAAAGAGAGACGGGAGUUGGAGUGAGGGAGCUGAAUGGAAAGGGAAAAGAGAGAGCGUUUGAAAACAGAGAGAAAGAGAGCGACGGGGAAGAGGAGAGGGAUUGGAAGGGAGGAGACCGCAUCUACUACGCCACCACUGCCAUCUUGUUAAUGUGGCCGUCGAGUCACCGUCGUAGAGCUGAGUCGCGAAGAGAGUUCACGAGCGAUAGAGAGAGCGACGUGGAGGGCGAGAGUCGCGAGCCUGGGACCGUCGCAUCGCCGCCAUCCUCGCACCAGCCACCGCCGCUGUCGGUGAUGAAGCCUGUCGCCACCAUCUGCGCCUCCAUGGUCGCCGUCGUUGAAGCCAUGCGAGAAGGGAACCACUGCUGUAAUGGAGAACGUCACACCAUCGCCGAGCUUGCUCCGUGGUUGCAGAUGAGCUUGCCGUUGUGGGGUAAGGAGAUGCGCGCGAGGAGAAGGCCGCGGAGGAAGAUGAACCAUUGCUGCUGGAGGUUGCCACCGUUCUGUUGCUUGGGAUCCACUGCCGCUCUGCUUCCAUGUUUUUCUUUUGUUAAUAAGUAAGCGGAGCUGUGGAAGUAAGUGGAGCUGUGGAUUGUGGAUGCAGCCACUGCGGUUGUGAGCCAAGGAAAAAAAGGGACUUAUCGCGUUAGAAUCACGGCGGGCUUGAUUCCUCGAGCUCUUUGCCCGUCGUUUGUCGCUGUGUUUGCUGCUAGCUUACCAUCUUCAAAGAUAGAGACGGGCAUCGUGUUCUAUGAGAUGUACGAAUCAUUUGUUUAAAAGGAUCAUAUUUUUGGGAGUUAUUUUAUCCAUGUGAUAUCUCGUGUUAGAUUUUAUAUACUACGUAACAGACCAUUCAUGCACCCCUAGAUAGACCAGAUUUUGACCCAGAUAUGUCAAACUACUUCCUUUUGUCAUGGUUAGAUCUAGACAGAUUUACACACGCAUUUUUUACUCAUCUAGGUCAUGAGGCUUGACUUGAGCCCGACCCAGACGAUGUGGAUGUCCCUAAGCCUCCACUUGAGGUAGCUGCACCUCUAGAGCCUUAGCUUCCACUUUCUCCCAUGGAUCAAGUAGUCACCCAGUAUGGACACUAGGUGAGGUUCUCACUCGAGUCUACACUAAUAGACCUAUCCAUGUGAAUGGAGAUAUUGGCAACUCUUCUAGUGAAGAGGUCCCAGAGGAAGAGGUCCCAGAAGCGGAGGAGGAGGAGGAAGAGGAGGAUCCAGUGGAGGACCCUGGAUGGGCUUAGAGAGAUGUACAGCCAGCAGGCUGGCCACCUACAAACCUGCCCAAAGGUGAUGUGUGAUCUUGGAGUUAGACCAUGACGACACCAUACUUUUAGAGAGCAUCCGGUUAGGCACGACUGAGGAGCUUUAAAGAAUUAUCCCUACUUUUGUUAGAGUAUGGGAGGGGCUAGAGAUGUCUAGACGGCUAGGUUAGCCUGCACACCAACUUAGAGGUUUUUUGGAUGGGUCAAGUUCUCGGAUGUCGAAUGUAGAUAUAUGUAUGUGUUAUGUAUCUAUUAUAAAGGGGGUGUAGUGUACCUGAAUCAGGUUAACGAGUUUGUGGAUAACUGUACUCUGUAAUAUAUACAUGUGUGAGUGAUAUGCAUUUAAUAUAUGUAUUUACUUUCUCUCAUAA